AGACAUGGUGGUGCUCUUGUUCCUCAGCUUUGCUGCCUGCACUGCUCUGCUCUCAGCAGGAGAGAAAGUCAAGCAGACUCCCAGUGACAUGUUGAAGAAGACGGGAGAGACGGCCACCAUCCAAUGUUCUCACAGCAUUGAGGGCUACAACCAGAUGCUCUGGUACAAGAACGUGGAGGUGCAGAUGCAGUUCCUGGGCUACAUGUCUUACAGCAAUGCCCUCCCAGAGAAGGGUGUGGACGUGGAGAUCAAAGGGAGCGCCUCAGUGAAUGAACAGUGCCAACUGAUCAUCCCAAAGCUCAACCUGAACAGCAGUGCUCUUUAUUACUGUGCAGCUAGGACUAGCAAUGCUGAAGCCUACUUUGGCCCGGGAACAAGACUAACAGUUCUAGGUGAGACACCAAAACAAGUCAAUCCACCCAAGGUGACCUUGCUGAAACCUUCGCCACAGGAGUGCAGCCAGCAGAAGAAGAAGAAGAAGAAGACUUUAGUGUGCGUGGCCACGGGCUUCUACCCGGACCACGUCAGCGUGGUGUGGCAGGUCAACCAGGUGGAGGAGCACACAGGUGUGGCCACGGACUCGCGGGCCCUGCGAAGCGGGGACUACUACAGCAUCAGCAGCAGGCUGAGGGUCCCAAGCAGCCAGUGGUUCAACUCCCACACCACCUUCAAGUGCGUGGUCAACUUCUUCAACGGGAAAGAAAGUGUGGCGUAUGAGGCGGAGAUGAAAGGAGAAAAAGGCUGGGACCAGGAAGACGCCAUGACGCGAGACAACUUCCUGAAGAUCUGGCAGAGCGCCAAACUCUCCUACGCCGUCCUCAUCGCCAAGAGCUGCGUCUACGCCGCCUUCCUCUUCUUCCUGCUACGCAACAUUCCCCUUGGUUUCCUCGGGGAAAAGUGACUAACUUUCAUUGUUGUGUUGUUCAUUGUGUCCUUCAUUUCUUGUCCUGCGUCUGCUUUUCACAAUAAAAGUCUCAUCAAAAUAA